CUACGGCUGUCAUAUAUUUGUGGCCACAAGCUGGAUUUCGGGGGCGCUGUUUCCCCCUGUGGAUAGAGUUAAGGAGAGACUCUUUUUUUUCUUCUUUUUCCUUGUUUCCUCACAGUGACAGACGUCGCAUCAUAGACAGAGAUAAAGUGCACGGAGUUUUUGUCGAUAUACGGUGUUUUUUCAACUGUUCUGUCGUCUUACAAGUUGUCAACUUAUCAAACGAGAUAAUGAAGAAGACAACCAACUUCUUUCCCGGAAAGACUAUGGUGUCUUUCAGGAAGGGUCCAUCAGGUCAUCUGCGGCAGGAUCCCUCUGACGAGGCCAUGCGCACAUGCUCCCCCAUCACCUCCGACUGGAGGUGAUGGGGGAGUAUGUGCUGCAGUUUGGAAAGUACAAGGGUAAAUUGUUUAGGUGGCUCCUGGAAAAUGAUGUUGGCUACACCAUCUACCUGAUGAAAAAGGUAGAGGAGGAGGAGAGAGGGGACCUUCAACCCUCAGGGACACAACAAGGACAGCCUGCUGUCAUUUCUGGACUAUGCCAGGAGCUUCCAGGAAAUUAGGGACCUCAGGGAGUAUCUAGCUUCCAGGCUGCCUGCGCCACCAGUGGCAUCAGAGGGUGACAAUACUGUCGGCUUUGGAGCCAGGGCAAAGGACACCUGGAGGCAGAUCUGGGAGAGCAGGGCAGAUGGAUAUGCUGCCUUCAUCGUAGGAGUAAAGUGCAUCAAAAACAGCAAGAUGUACAACCUGCAGCAGUACAUCCUCAAGCAGCAGAGGGCUGAGUCUGGGGAGUCCUGUCCACCACCUGCAGGGGUCUCCACUACAUCAGCUGCCCCUACACCGCCUACAUCUAGCAUUCGAUGGAGGAAGACGAGGAGUUGGAGAGGGGAUGCUGAAUCUGUCUCCCUGUAAAUUUGCC